rfam:Chlamydotis undulata macqueenii contig69606, whole genome shotgun sequence.
GCUGUGAUGGCCGAGCGGUGAAGGCGUUGGACUUGAAAUCCAAUGGGGAUUCCCUGCGCAGGUUCAAAUCCUGCUCACAGCG